GAAAAAUGUGAGAGAAGAGAGAAAAGAGGAAGAAAUUCAAAUGAAAUGACAUUUGAAUCUCACAGGUACCCCAGACACUACUCAGCAUUUGGUGAAUCCCACCACUUUUGUCAGCUCUGCUAUGGGAAUGUGUUUUGAAUGGAAGAAGGCUAAAAAGCCCGCAGCUGUAAAACCAGGGUCAUGCUCUUACGGGAAUUCUUGGGACACCUGAAAACAAAGGACGGUGGGGAACUGACUAGGGUCCACCCAGUCUGCAGGGCACAUUUGUGUCCAGAAGAGGCAUCACAACCAUGGCCAAUAUUGAACUCUCUGUCUCUUGAAGUUUCAAGUUUCAGUGUCAUGAAGUCUUCUUCCCUAUUGCAUGGUCUAUACUAA